rnacentral:rRNA from 1 species
CCUACGGGAGACAGCAGUGAGGAAUAUUGGUCAAUGGGCGCGAGCCUGAACCAGCCAAGUAGCGUGAAGGAUGACUGCCCUACGGGUUGUAAACUUCUUUUAUAAAGGAAUAAAGUGAGGCACGUGUACCUUUUUGGAUGUACUUUAUGAAUAAGGAUCGGCUAACUCCGGUCCAGCAGCCGCGGUAAUACGGAGGAUCCGAGCGUUAUCAGGAUUCAUUGGGUUUAAAGGGAGCGUAGAUGGGUUGUUAAGUCAGUUGUGAAAGUUUGCGGCUCAACCGUAAAAUUGCAAUUGAUACUGGCAGUCUUGAGUACAGUUGAGGUAGGCGGAAUUCGUGGUGUAGCGGUGAAAUGCUUAGAUAUCACGAAGAACUCAGAUUGCGAAGGCAGCUUACUAAACUGCCACUGACAUUGAUGCUCGAAAGUGUGGGUAUCAAACAGGAUUAGAUACCCCGGUAGUC